AACGAACGCUAUCGGUAUGCUUAACACAUGCAAGUCGGACGGACUAAUUAGGGUUUGCUCCCUUUAGUUAGUGGCAGACGGGUGAGUAACACGUGAGAAUCCGCCCAUCAGUACGGAAUAAAUUUUAGAAAUAAAAGCUAAUACCGUAUAUUCUCCACAGAUGACAGAUUUAUCGUUGAUGUAUGAGCCCGCGUCAGAUUAGGUAUGUGGUGAGGUAACGGCUUACCAAGCCGACGACCUGUAGCUGGUCUGAGAGGAUGAUCAGCCACACUGGGACUGAGACACGGCCCAGACUCGUACGGGAGGCAGCAGUGGGGAAUAUUGGACAAAGGGCGAGAGCCUGAUCCAGCAAUACCGAGUGAGUGAUAAAGGCCGUAGGGUUGUAAAGCUCUUUUAGCAAGGAAGAUAAUGACGUUACUGGCAGAAAAAGCCCCGGCUAACUCCGU
rnacentral:rRNA from 1 species